rnacentral:rRNA from 1 species
AGAGUUUGAUCCUGGCUCAGAUUGAACGCUGGCGGCAGGCCUAACACAUGCAAGUCGAGCGGCAGCGGAAGGAAGCUUGCUUCCUUGCCGGCGAGCGGCGGACGGGUGAGUAAGGUAUGGGGAUCUGGCCGAAGGCGGGGGAUAACCACUGGAAACGGUGGCUAAUACCGCAUAAUCUCUAAGGAGCAAAGUGGGGGACCAUUAUGGCCUCACACCUUCGGAUGAACCCAUAUGAGAUUAGCUAGUAGGUGGGGUAAAGGCUCACCUAGGCGACGAUCUCUAGCUGGUCUGAGAGGAUGAUCAGCCACACUGGGACUGAGACACGGCCCAGACUCCUGCGGGAGGCAGCAGUGGGGAAUAUUGCACAAUGGGCGCAAGCCUGAUGCAGCCAUGCCGCGUGUAUGAAGAAGGCCUUCGGGUUGUAAAGUACUUUCAGUCGUGAGGAAGGUGUUAAGGUUAAUAGCCUUAGCAAUUGACGUUAGCGACAGAAGAAGCACCGGCUAACUCCGUGCCAGCAGCCGCGGUAAUACGGAGGGUGCGAGCGUUAAUCGAAAUUACUGGGCGUAAAGGGCACGCAGGCGGUUAAUUAAGUUGGAUGUGAAAUCCCCGGGCUUAACCUGGGAAUGGCAUUCAAGACUGGUUAGCUAGAGUCUUGUAGAGGGGGGUAGAAUUCCAUGUGUAGCGGUGAAAUGCGUAGAGAUGUGGAGGAAUACCGGUGGCGAAGGCGGCUCCCUGGACAAAGACUGACGCUCAUGUGCGAAAGCGUGGGGAGCAAACAGGAUUAGAUACCCUGGUAGUCCACGCUGUAAACGAUGUCGAUUUGGAGGUUGUGGUCUAGAACUGUGGCCUCCGGAGCUAACGCGUUAAAUCGACCGCCUGGGGAGUACGGCCGCAAGGUUAAAACUCAAAUGAAUUGACGGGGGCCCGCACAAGCGGUGGAGCAUGUGGUUUAAUUCGAUGCAACGCGAAGAACCUUACCUACUCUUGACAUCCAGCGAAGCCUUUAGAGAUAGAGGUGUGCCUUCGGGAGCGCUGAGACAGGUGCUGCAUGGCUGUCGUCAGCUCGUGUUGUGAAAUGUUGGGUUAAGUCCCGCAACGAGCGCAGCCCUUAUCCUUUGUUGCCAGCGAUUCGGUCGGGAACUCAAAGGAGACUGCCGGUGAUAAACCGGAGGAAGGUGGGGAUGACGUCAAGUCAUCAUGGCCCUUACGAGUAGGGCUACACACGUGCUACAAUGGCGUAUACAGAGAGAGGCGAGCCUGCGAGGGGAAGCGGAACUCAGAAAGUACGUCAAAGUCCGGAUUGGAGUCUGCAACUCGACUCCAUGAAGUCGGAAUCGCUAGUAAUCGCGGAUCAGCAUGUCGCGGUGAAUCCGUUCCCGGGCCUUGUACACACCGCCCGUCACACCAUGGGAGUGGGUUGCAAAAGAAGUAGGUAGCUUAACCUUUUGGAUGGCGCUUACCACUUUGUGAUUCAUGACUGGGGUGAAGUCGUAACAAUGCGGACUCAUUAUAGGGAGCAUGCGGCUGGAUCACCU